UUGCCAGAUUGUCUUUUGAUCUGCCAACUCCGCUUCUGAGUCUGUUCAGGGACUUCCAAGUUGCCCAUUCUUGGUUUACCCCAGGAGGAAGACCCUCAUGGGGGGCCAUCCAGUUAGAAUUGCCUGGUAUAGCUGCCCAGAGAGACACCCUUGCUGCUGCUGGAGGAACAUCAAGAGGAGUGGUGGUUCUCAUGAAGCCCUUCCUUGAUUUGAGUCUACUGGGAGGAGGCUGAUAGUCAUGCAGUGGGUGGCUUUCACAAUGUUUGACCUUAUUUCUCUCACAGUUAGCAGCAACUUCCCGUCGCACGUCAGGAGGGGCAAUGCCAGCUAACUUAUAGAGUUUAUCAACAGGUGUAGGGGGACACGGAAAGAGCCUCCCCGAAGAUUGAGUAAAUUCAGUUGGGCGUCCCCUGGGCAACGUUUCCUGUAAGCGGCCAAUCUUUCCACACCCAAAAGCAUUGGAUGAAUGAAGAAAUUCUGAUUUAGAGUAUAACCAAAUAAAAACAGCUAUGUUGUAGAGGCCUAAAGAUCUAGGGAAAAAUAUUGGCUUGGAGAAUUGGGAACACCAAUGGAAAAGAGGAUUUAAAUUUUCAACAGCUGGGUAUAUCAGAGAAACUAUGAAUAUAACCCCAGAUAAGUAUCUUUUAGGGUGAUUUAAAGAGAGAAUUAGUAAACAAGUGAACAGAUUUGCUCAAUAUAGAUUGGUUGCUGCUAAAUUAACUCUCAUGUAAUCUUGGUAGGGGGGGAAAAGGACUACUCAUAAAGAGUCCGCAUGUAGAAAGACAAAUGUAGAUGUCAUGUAGAUUUCAAAUGAAGCUCCAGGCUGGAGGUUGUUUUUCUUUGAAAAGGUUCCAUUCCUGUGAAGGUUCCAAGGCCGGUGGUGUUCACCUGGUUGUCAUGGAGACCGGGGGUUCUGAGGGGCCUCCAGUCAGUUGGCCCUGCCAUUGCCUUCCUGGCCACCAACAUGGGCAGAGAGCUCUCCAGGCAGGUCCAGUUGGGGCCACUCCACAGGGAUGUCUCUCUGGCCCAGGCCCUUCUGCGCACCCCCUCAGGAUUGCCCUGGACACAGGGUUCAGGAAGGUCAGGACGAGGCACUCACAUCUUCACCGGGUGUGCUCCAAAAACGCAGAGGAUAUUCCUGUAGCUCCUCCAAGGUAA
rnacentral:lncRNA from 1 species